GAUGAACGCUGGCGGCGUGCCUAAUACAUGCAAGUCGAGCGAACAGACGAGGAGCUUGCUCCUCUGACGUUAGCGGCGGACGGGUGAGUCACACGUGGAUAACCUACCUAUAAGACUGGGAUAACUUCGGGAAACCGGAGCUAAUACCGGAUAAUAUAUUGAACCGCAUGGUUCAAUAGUGAAAGACGGUUUUGCUGUCACUUAUAGAUGGAUCCGCGCCGCAUUAGCUAGUUGGUAAGGUAACGGCUUACCAAGGCGACGAGGCGUAGCCGAACUGAUAGGGUGGUCGGCCACACUAGAGCUGGGACACGGUCCAGACUCCUACGGGAGGCAGCAGUAGGGAAUCGUCCGCAAUGGGCGAAAGCCUUACGGAGCAACGCCGCGUGAGUGAUGAAGGUCUUCGGAUCGUAAAACUCUGUUAUUAGGGAAGAACAAAUGUGUAAGUAACUAUGCACGUCUUGACGGUACCUAAUCAGAAAGCCACGGCUAACUACGUG
rnacentral:rRNA from 1 species